rnacentral:lncRNA from 1 species
UCAGGAGUCCCCGCCACACUGAAAACCCCUAAUCCUAAUCAAGGAAACCAAGUUUCAAGGGAUGUGGGGAGCUGGAGACAGGACAGCCCCUGUCUGCCUCAAAGGAUCAUGGAAAAGUAGAGCCUCUCCAGGCACUGUCAUCUCUCUGGAGUGCUGCAAGGAAGUUGUCGUUGUUUUUGAAGAAGAAACUGAAAGACAGAGAGAUAUGUAACUUGCCCAAGAUCUCACAGCUACAAUCCUGGACAGAACCUUCCUCACAGUAAGGCCCUCUGAUGGAAUUCAUUCAAAGAUGUUUGCCCCAGAGUCCUAUCCACUCACAGAAGCUAACCUUGCAAAUAUAACACAAUGCUUGUAGCCCUUCUAUCUUUCACUGUACCAGGAAACUCAAAAUUAUUUUGAAAAGAUAAUGUAUUGACAGUGUUAUAAGCUAAA